ACUAAAAUGGCUGAACUAAUAAGCAUAGGUCUUUUAAACCUUAAAUGGUAUAAACCUUUUACAA
rnacentral:tRNA from 1 species